rnacentral:rRNA from 1 species
UACGUAGGGACCGAGCGUUGUCCGGAAUCAUUGGGCGUAAAGAGCGUGUAGGCGGCCACUUAAGUCCUGCGUGAAAUCUUGCGGCUCAACCGCAAGCGGUCGUGGGAAACUGGGUGGCUAGAGUGCGGGAGAGGAGAGUGGAAUUCCUGGUGUAGCGGUGAAAUGCGCAGAUAUCAGGAAGAACACCAGUGGCGAAGGCGACUUUCUGGACCAUAACUGACGCUGAGGCAUGAAAGCGUGGGGAGCAAACAGG